rnacentral:rRNA from 1 species
CGGAGGAUGCAAGUGUUAUCCGGAAUCACUGGGCGUAAAGCGUCUGUAGGUGGUUAAAUAAGUCAACUGUUAAAUCUUGAGGCUCAACUUCAAAAUCGCAGUCGAAACUAUUAGACUAGAGUAUAGUAGGGGUAAGGAAUUCCAGUGGAGCGGUGAAAUGCGUAGAGAUUGGAAAGAACACCAAUGGCGAAAGCACUUUACUGGGCUAUUACUGACACUGAGAGACGAAAGCUAGGGUAGCAAAUGGGAUU